rnacentral:miRNA from 1 species
CUCUGUGUCAUUUUACGCAGCGUGGGAAAGUUCUUUGUAAUUUUCCCACACUGUGUAAAAUGACACAGAG